GUAUAAUUGGCUGGUGGACACUCUUAGUUUUGUGAUAAUUUGCUGGAAGACACCGCAUUAAUUAAAAUAAUAUUUUUGAGCCGAACAUGAUAGAGAUACAGUGUGAAAUGGUCAUUUUUGCCCCCUGACUUCACCGAUUAGCCCCUUCUUCCUCCUCUCCCUUCUGCGAUCUCUUGCACCUAGACUCGACCAACCGUCGUGGCCCCUGGACUCGUGGCAAGCCGCGCUGCGCCAAGGCUCGACGACACGCGGUGGCUUGCAUCAGGCAUGAGGUCAGCAAGAGCGGAGCACUAAAUCGAGCUAGAUAAGUAGAAAUUGAGGUCGUCCCAAGUUGGAUUAAGCUCAUCCACUCACGAAUCUAAAACUCCUAAUCUUGUACGGAGUCUUCCCUUCACUUCUUUCCUCUUCCUCCUCCCGUUCUUCCUGCAGGCCCCGCGGUACCCCUGCGUCCGCACCCGCGGCGUUGCUAUCUGCCAUUGGAGCUCCUCCGGGCGAAGCUUAGGCCAGAGGCAGCGCACACCGCUUGGGGCAAGAUGGCUGCAAGGAAGAGCAGGCGCACGUGGCCACCGGAGCUUCUUUGAGUGGGGUGGAGCUGGGACUGUGGGGCGGCGUAGGUGGAGGUGCUGUGGACGCAAGAUGGAUGGGAUAUGGGGAGUUGCUCAAGCCGGCGGAUAGCACAGCAGCGGCCAGCGGGCCUUGGAGAAAUUGGAGGGGGAGGAAGAAGAAAGGUCUGACCAGUAGGAUCAGGGGAUAAAAGCAAGGCUGAACUUUAGAGUUGAUGACGAAUCAGAGGACAUGUGUGGUCCAAACAUGAAGCAUGCGUCAAGGUGAAGGAAAGUCAUGAAAGCGUUGGAACCGUCAAUAGUUACGCUCCAUGUUGCCGUGGCAAGGUUAUUGCUAUUUCUUCCGAACCCAUCAAGCAAGUGGUGACCACACGAUCGGGUGAGGUCUUACCCACGGAGACAAUUAGUCCAAUGCAUGUGGAACACCCACCAUUCAGUGUGAAGUAAUAUGUGUUGAUGGUUGAUGACUCUCUCAAGGAACUACUGGCAUACAUUUGCACCUUAUUUUUUUUUUGCAUAGUCACAAGCUUAAAUUCAUGCCAUGCACAAUUCCAUUAUGCUAUAUAUUUUCAUUUGU